CGCUGGCGGCGUGCCUAAUACAUGCAAGUCGAACGGUCUUUCUAUGGAAGCUUGCUUCCACUGAGAAGAUAGUGGCGAACGGGUGAGUAACACGUGGGUAACCUGCCCAUAAGAGGGGGAUAACAUCCGGAAACGGGUGCUAAUACCGCAUAGUUUUCUUGAUCGCAUGAUCGGGAAAGGAAAGACGGCCUUUGUGCUGUCGCUUAUGGAUGGACCCGCGGCGUAUUAGUUAGUUGGUGAGGUAACGGCUCACCAAGACGAUGAUACGUAGCCGACCUGAGAGGGCGAUCGGCCACAUUGGGACUGAGACACGGCCCAAACUCCUACGGGAGGCAGCAGUAGGGAAUCUUCCGCAAUGGACGAAAGUCUGACGGAGCAACGCCGCGUGAGUGAAAGAAGGUUUUCGGAUCGUAAAACUCUGUUGUCAGAGAAGAACAAGUUGGAGAGUAACUGCUCCAGCCUUGACGGUAUCUGACCAGAAAGCCACGGCUAACUACGUGCCAGCCGCCGC
rnacentral:rRNA from 1 species